rnacentral:rRNA from 1 species
GACGAACGCUGGCGGCGUGCUUAACACAUGCAAGUCGAACGAAGUGGCGAACGGGUGAGUAACGCGUAAUCAACCUGCCCUUCAGAGGGGGACAACAGUUGAAAACGACUGCUAAUACCGCAUAAUGAAGGAGGGGAUUGCUGCUGCUUAGCUAGUUGGAGGGGUAACGGCCCACCAAGGCGAGGAUCAGUAGGCGGUCUGGGAGGAUGAACGGCCCCAUUGGGACUGAGACACGGCCCAGACUCCUACGGGAGGCAGCAGUGGGGAAUCUUCCGCAAUGGACGAAAGUCUGACGGAGCAACGCCGCGUGAGUGAUGGCGGCCUUCGGGUUGUAAAGCUCUGUUAAUCGGGACGCGGUACCGGAAUAGAAAGCCACGGCUAACUACGUGCCAGCAGCCGCGGUAAUUC